rnacentral:rRNA from 1 species
AUGGCCGCCACCGGCACCAGCCAGCAGCAGCCGGCGGCGGCGUCGGUGGACCCCAAGUUCGAGUGGGCGGAGAAGGCCGGCACCUACGUGCUCCGCCUCACACUGACGGGCUUCAAGAAGGAGGACUUCCGGGUGCAGGUGGACGGUGCCGGGAGGCUCACCGUGCGCGGCACCAGGCCGGGCGCCUCCCUCCACAAGGUCUUCCAGCUGCCCGCAACCGCCAGCCUCGACGACAUCGCCGGCCGCUUCGAGGCCGGCGUGCUCACGCUCACCGUGCCCAAGCGCGCCGGCACGGCCCCACCGACGAGCAUCGAGGAAGUCAAGAAGAGUAAACCUGCUGCCGCCAAGGAGGAGAACGCCAAGCCGACGCCACCCGCACAGGUCGACGGCGCCAAGAGCAUGCCCGCCAAGCCGACGCCACCCACAGAGGUCGACGGCGACAAGAAGAUGCCCAGGGAGGAGGGUGCUGCCAAGCUGACGCCACAAGCGGAGGUCGAUGGCGCCAAGAAGAUGUCCAAGGAGGAGGGUGCCGCCAAGCCACCGCCGCCGCCAGCCUCCCACCAGCUGCCAUCCAAGGACGGCGGGGCUGGAAAGAAGGAGACCAAGGGCGCCAAGCAGCCGGCUGCCAGGGACGACGGCGGCGAGAAGAAGGAAGCCGUCGUUGGCACUGAGCCCAAGGAGAGCACGCUCGGCAGGACGACACGUCAGGUCGCGGAGCAUGUUCACCGCAUGGAGGAGGAGAGCAGACGCAAGCAAAUUGAGCAUAAGCCGGCGCCGGCGGCGAAGAAGGAAGAAGACGUGAAGCCCAAGGCACCCCAGCCAGCAGCAGCCACGGCGACACCGGAGAAGCCAGCGCCGAAGGCAGAGGUUGCCAACGGCGAGAAGGCCAAGGCGGCGGUUGAUCCGGAGAGCCUGGUGGAGACGACGAGGCGGCGCGGCAAGGAAGAGAGGGCCAAGGCUGCUGCCGCGGCGACGGCCAUAGAAGGAAAAGCGGAAAAGGCGAAGAAGGCGGUGGCGUCGACAUGCACGGCCUGGAAGGAGCGCAUCGCCGGGGAGCUCAAGGGGCUGACGGACAUGAAGUGGGCGGACAACGCGGUGGAGACGGCGAGGAAGAACAAGGAGGUGGUCGCCAUCGGCGUCGCCGCCUUCUCCAUCGGCUUCCUCGUCUCCCAGAAGCUCUUCAGGAAGUGA